rnacentral:rRNA from 1 species
CAGCCGCCGCGGUAAUGCAGAGGGUGCGAGCGUUAAUCGGAUUUACUGGGCGUAAAGGGCGCGUAGGCGGUUUAGUGAGUGUGAUGUGAAAGCCCCGGGCUUAACCUGGGAAGUGCAUCGCAAACGACUAAACUGGAGUAUAAGAGAGGGUGGCGGAAUUUCCGGUGUAGCGGUGAGAUGCGUAGAGAUCGGAAGGAACGUCAAUGGCGAAGGCAGCCACCUGGCUUAAUACUGACGCUGAGGCGCGAAAGCGUGGGGAUCAAACAGGAUUAGAUACCCCCGUAGUCCCUGUCUCUUAUAC